rnacentral:rRNA from 1 species
UUAGUGGCGAACGGGUGAGUAACACGUGAGCAACCUGCCUUUCAGUGGGGGACAACAUUUGGAAACGAAUGCUAAUACCGCAUAAGACCACAGUGUCGCAUGGCACAGGGGUCAAAGGAUUUAUCCGCUGAAAGAUGGGCUCGCGUCCGAUUAGCUAGAUGGUGAGGUAACGGCCCACCAUGGCGACGAUCGGUAGCCGGACUGAGAGGUUGAACGGCCACAUUGGGACUGAGACACGGCCCAGACUCCUACGGGAGGCAGCAGUGGGGAAUAUUGCACAAUGGGGGAAACCCUGAUGCAGCGACGCCGCGUGGAGGAAGAAGGUCUUCGGAUUGUAAACUCCUGUCCCAGGGGACGAUAAUGACGGUACCCUGGGAGGAAGCACCGGCUAACUACGUGCCAGCAGCCGCGGUAAAACGUAGGGUGCAAGCGUUGUCCGGAAUUACUGGGUGUAAAGGGAGCGCAGGCGGAUUGGCAAGUUGGGAGUGAAAUCUAUGGGCUCAACCCAUAAAUUGCUUUCAAAACUGUCAGUCUUGAGUGGUGUAGAGGUAGGCGGAAUUCCCCGGUGUAGCGGUGGAAUGCGUAGAUAUCGGGAAGGAACACCAGUGGCGAAGGCGGCCUACUGGGCACUAACUGACGCUGAG